rnacentral:rRNA from 1 species
AACGUAGGAGACAAACGUUAUCCGGAGUUACUGGGCGUAAAGGGCGUGUAGGUGGUUUCGUAAGUCUGGCGUGAAAUUUUUCGGCUUAACCGGGAAAGGUCGUCGGAUACUGCGGAACUAGAGGACGGUAGAGGCGUGUGGAAUUCCGGGUGUAGUGGUGAAAUGCGUAGAGAUCGGGAGGAACACCAGUGGCGAAGGCGGACAUCGC